UGUGGCUUAAGUGGUAGAGCACCUGCCUAGCAAGCUGGAGGCCCUGGGGUCAAAUCCCAGUA
rnacentral:tRNA from 1 species